UCCUCGAUGGUCUAGUGGUAUGUACUACCGCUCUUCACGCGGGAGACCAGGGUUCGAUUCCCUGUCGGGGAG
rnacentral:tRNA from 1 species